rnacentral:lncRNA from 1 species
AGAGCUGAGGAAAGCUCUCUGGGGAAGUGUCCUGAGUCACGAACAAAUGAAUUAUGAAAACGUUUCUUUCAGGCAAUGAUAUGGAGGCCCAUGAUGAUCAGAGAGAGGGAUGCAGGGACAAGUACUGCCAAGCAGGAAAGUCUUGGACAUGACAAUGAGCCACAAGCAGGAACUGGGCACGUGUGAUGCUGAGAGUGGAAGGGGAGACCAGGACAAGAGUCCAUGAAGAGAUUAAGAGGACUGGAGUGCAAUACCAGAGUGCCAGAAGUGAUUGGAAUUUUUCUUCAUGGGAACACCUAGCUCAUCAGUUGUGGUAGAAAGUCAAGGCCAUCUUCUUUGCCUACAGAUUCAUUACCUCCUUUGUUGACUACACCAUAAUCUCUGACUGGUGAGAACAUGUCACCUAGGCUACUUUCCCCAGUAUCAU